rnacentral:pre_miRNA from 1 species
AGGGUUGUUGACAGAAGAUAGAGAGCACAGAUAGUGAUAUGCAUAAAAAUAUGGAACGGGAAAGCAAUUGCAUCUCACUCCUUUGUGCUCUCUAGGCUUCUGUCAUCCACACCUU